ACUUCAUCUCUUAACUCUUGAUCCCCAGGGGGCCACUAUCCGUGGUGGCUGGAAGGACCUGAGCUCCGUUUGUCCCAGCCCUCCGUUUGAUUGGUAACUGUCUCUUGCAUUACUGACUUCAGCAGGCAUUUGCCCAGCACCUACUCCGUGCCAAGCCGCCAGAACACAGAGGAUGGCAGAGAGUCCACCUGCUUAAGUUGGAAAUCUGUGCACCACGAAAGUGAAAUAGGGUGCCUUGAUGAAAUUGGAUGAUUUUCAUCCACUCAGGGUGAGUGACCGGCAGCCAGGAGCUGGGUCGGAGAAGAUGGUGGAUUUCCGUACGUCUGAUGGACGACUCCGCGGGUUCCGGCUAACAGCCUUUCUGUUUUGUGCCUAUUUCACUGUUUAGAUUUAACAUUGCCAAAUACUAGAAAUUUUCUCCA